rnacentral:rRNA from 1 species
UGGUCUUAGCUUGCUAAGGCCGAUGGCGACCGGCGCACGGGUGAGUAACACGUAUCCAACCUGCCGUCUACUCUUGGACAGCCUUCUGAAAGGAAGAUUAAUACAAGAUGGCAUCAUGAGUUCACAUGUUCACAUGAUUAAAGGUAUUCCGGUAGACGAUGGGGAUGCGUUCCAUUAGAUAGUAGGCGGGGUAACCGGCCCACCUAGUCUUCGAUGGAUAGGGGUUCUGAGAGGAAGGUCCCCACUAUUGGAACCUGAGACACGGUCCGAAACGUCC